rnacentral:lncRNA from 1 species
CCAUCUGAGUACUUAACGAACAUUCACAUUAGGGAUAAGCUGGCUGCAAUAAAACUUGGCCGAUAUGGUGAAGACCUUCUCUUCUAUCUCUAUUACAUGAAUGGAGGAGACGUAUUACAACUUUUAGCUGCAGUGGAGCUUUUUAACCGUGAUUGGAGAUACCACAAAGAAGAACGAGUAUGGAUUACCAGGGCACCAGGCAUGGAGCCAACAAUGAAAACCAAUACCUAUGAGAGGGGAACAUAUUACUUCUUUGACUGUCUUAACUGGAGGAAAGUAGCUAAGGUAUAUUUCUUUCCAUGUGCAAAUGUAUAAAUCUAAACUUGAAAAAAGAAGUGUCCUCUUUUAUCUGUUUAUAAGUACCAAUACAUCCAGUUCCAGUAAUGUGCCACAUAUUUGCCAACUGUUUAAUUCCAUCUCCUUGGCUUGACACUCUUAGAAGAGUGUCCCAAAACAAUUGGUUUCACUGAUAGUUACAUUAUUGAAUUUGGUAAGAGGUUUUGUAAUUUUGCAUAAGCCUUGGUAACAUUUGAAAUAUUUUUUGUGUCUACUGCUUUGUAAAAUAAAGAUACUCUCUUGCAACCCCA